rnacentral:rRNA from 1 species
AUGAUAUGCUUCUUCGCAGUCGAGUGGCACUUCGUAGACCGUGUGGCAAGACAAUUUGGAAGAAGACAAGGUAUUCCAAUUGAGGAGAGCAAGGAGGAAAUUCUAUCUCUGCAUCGGUUCGAUCGAAGGAACAAUCAGGAUAUAUCAGAUUGGGCAAACAAACACCGUACGUGGAUACAAAUUUGGAAUCAAAGAGACACGUUAGUGGAAUCAGAGAAUAGACCUCACAAUCAGUCAACAUAUCAGAAGUAUCAGGUGCGGUAUGCGGAUCGUUACCGGUUAAAGCUAAAGCCCGGUUGGACUCACGAGGAGUGGUCGAGUUGGUGUCUGAAGACCCGGAGACUGCAGAAGGUUAUCAUACCUUCAACAGGGCGGUGA